rnacentral:snRNA from 1 species
UUUUGAAAUGUGGCAAACGGAUU